rnacentral:rRNA from 1 species
AGUGAACGCUGGCGGUAGGCCUAACACAUGCAAGUCGAACGGCAGCACAGUAAGAGCUUGCUCUUACGGGUGGCGAGUGGCGGACGGGCGAGGAAUACAUCGGAAUCUACUUUUUCGUGGGGGAUAACGUAGGGAAACUUACGCUAAUACCGCAUACGACCUACGGGUGAAAGCAGGGGAUCUUCGGACCUUGCGCGAUUGAAUGAGCCGAUGUCGGAUUAGCUAGUUGGCGGGGUAAAGGCCCACCAAGGCGACGAUCCGUAGCUGGUCUGAGAGGAUGAUCGGCCACCUUGGAGCUUGGACACCCUCCAGGCUCCUACGGGAGGCCGCAGUGGGGAAUAUUGGGCAAUGGGCGCAAGCCUGAUCCAGCCAUACCGCGUGGGUGAAGAAGGCCUUCGGGUUGUAAAGCCCUUUUGUUGGGAAAGAACCGCAGCAGGUUAAUACCCCGCUGUUCUGACGGUACCCAGAGAAUAAGCACCGGCUAACUUCGUG